rnacentral:rRNA from 1 species
AUGAACGCUGGCGGCGUGCCUAAUACAUGCAAGUAGAACGCUGAAGGAAGGAGCUUGCUCUUUCCGGAUGAGUUGCGAACGGGUGAGUAACGCGUAGGUAACCUGCCUGGUAGCGGGGGAUAACUAUUGGAAACGAUAGCUAAUACCGCAUAACAGUAGAUGUUGCAUGAUAUCUACUUAAAAGGUGCAAUUGCACCACUACCAGAUGGACCUGCGUUGUAUUAGCUAGUUGGUGAGGUAACGGCUCACCAAGGCGACGAUACAUAGCCGACCUGAGAGGGUGAUCGGCCACACUGGGACUGAGACACGGCCCAGACUCCUACGGGAGGCAGCAGUAGGGAAUCUUCGGCAAUGGGCGGAAGUCUGACCGAGCAACGCCGCGUGAGUGAAGAAGGUUUUCGGAUCGUAAAGCUCUGUUGUAAGAGAAGAACGAGUGUGAGAGUGGAAAGUUCACACUGUGACGGUAUCUUACCAGAAAGGGACGGCUAACUACGUG